rnacentral:rRNA from 1 species
UACGAAGGGGGCUAGCGUUGCUCGGAAUUACUGGGCGUAAAGGGAGCGUAGGCGGCCUGUUUAGUCAGAGGUGAAAGCCCAGGGCUCAACCUUGGAAUUGCCUUUGAUACUGGCAGUCUUGAGUACGGAAGAGGUAUGUGGAACUCCGAGUGUAGAGGUGAAAUUCGUAGAUAUUCGGAAGAGCACCAGUGGCGAAGGCGACUUACUGGACAGAUAUUGACGCUGAGGUGCGAAAGCGUGGGGAGCAAACAGG